AGAGCGAACGCUGGCGGCAGGCUUAACACAUGCAAGUCGAGCGCCCCGCAAGGGGAGCGGCAGACGGGAGAGUAACACGUGGGAACAUACCUUUUGGUUCGGAACAACUGAGGGAAACUUCAGCUAAUACCGGAUAAGCCCUUACGGGGAAAGAUUUAUCGCCGAAAGAUUGGCCCGCGUCUGAUUAGCUAGUUGGUGAGGUAAUGGCUCACCAAGGCGACGAUCAGUAGCUGGUCUGAGAGGAUGAUCAGCCUCAUUGGGACUGAGACACGGCCCAAACUCCUACGGGAGGCAGCAGUGGGGAAUAUUGGACAAUGGGCGCAAGCCUGAUCCAGCCAUGCCGCGUGAGUGAUGAAGGCCUUAGGGUUGUAAAGCUCUUUCGUUGGGAAGAUAAUGACGGUACCAAAGAGAAGCCCGGCUAACUUCGCGCCAGCAGCCGC
rnacentral:rRNA from 1 species